rnacentral:lncRNA from 1 species
GUCCCCUGCUGAGCUUCUUCCUCCCAAAGUCCCCUCAAGAAGUACAGCUAAAAUACUGGAUAAGCCUUCAUUCCACAAAAGCAUACUAAAGCAAUGAGUAGAAAAUGCGACAUUACACAUAUUUCCAACAUG